UGCGUAAAGUUUUCUACCGUUAGAAAGCCGCUUGUCUAUUUGCAUGUAUAUGAUAGCAUAAAAUAACGAGUGCAUAUGAAUUUUACAGUCAUUAGUCAAAUAGAUCUAUAUAUAUAUAUAUAUUUUAGCGUUAUUAGUCUUAAAUAAUCAGUACCUAUAACUAAAAUAUGUGCCAUCAUUUAUGCUUUUUUAUUUUAAUAUUCCUUUUCUUACCACUAUACUAAAAUAGCUUAUAUUAUAAAACUGUUCUGUAUUAUUUUCUGUUUGAUUACAUUAAUUCAUCGUUUUGUUGCUCAUUGUCAGACCUUCUCAUGAUACAUAGAAAUUUUUCACAUUUAGCCUAUUCCAACCCUGAGUUUUGUUUUCUUUUCAAAUCUGUAGCUAAUAAAGCAAGAAAAUGUGUUUAAAAAAAUACAUUUUUGUUAAAAAUUAAAAAAAUACAACCCGUAUAUUCACGGGAGCAUACGGGCCGAUUUCUUUUUAAGACAGACAGGAACAUGGGCAGGAUGUUUAUACUGUCAAAUGUAAACAUUUUCUCUAGCCUUCUUUAAAUAAAAAAUCAAGCAAAAAGCACCACAAGAGCCGCUAAUACCCAUUCUGGGGCUAUGCGUCCGUUUUAUGCGGCGCAAACUAUUUGUGAAUCUUUGUUUUAACAUAAAUGUGGAGAUGAAGCCGUAGACAAUUCUGUCUACUUUCUUUUUAAAAAAAUGCUGCCUCGGACCUGCACUUGCUUUGAGAAACUUUGCUAUAUGAAGACGGCUAAUCGAUCUCUCUUGCUGCUCCUCAGACCUGAUCCUGCAGAGCUUGGAGGAAGUGCAGGUAUGUGAAGUACCAGCACCAGGUUACAGCAUCAGGUCACGCUUCGGACCAUUGACCCUUGAUCCCAGCGUCUGUUUAUGUCUCGUGAUUGAUUGGAUAAAUAGUGAUGAGUCAUAUCCCCAAGUGUGUUUAUAUUACAGAGUCACGCAAGGAAGGAAAAGAGCUAUGACCUGCUAAAAGCCAGUGUGAGACAGAAAGAGAGCGAGGUUAUUAAAAUGCUACCUGUUAUUGUUAAUGUUCAUGUUAAUGUUCAUGUUUUUACACCAUCUACUCAACGAUAAAGAUAUUACUGCAUUAGAAGGGAACAUGUAACCGAAUAUGAAUAAAUAUAUCUCCUUCUGCA